GCUCACAGUUUCCGAGUGUUCACUCCAGGCUGGGUGGCUUCAAGGCAGAAAAAGCAUGGAGGAAAGGGCUGGAGGAGGACAGGUUCUCAACCCAGGUGAGCCAGGAAGCAGAGAGAAAAGGAAGACCAGGGAUAAGACCACACCCUUCCGGGUCACGCCCUAUGACCUACUUCCCCCAAUCAUGCUCCACCCCUAACAGCACUGUCUGCCAUGAACUCAUCAGUGGACCACUGAUGAGUGCAGAGUCUCCGUGAGCCAAUCUCCCUCCAAAAGCCUGGCCUCUGAACACAUGAGACUUCUGGGGGACAUUUUAGAACUAAACUGUAACGUGUGAAAUCUUCCAUUUUGAAUAGAUUUUUUCCUUGUCCUAAGUCAACUAGCCUAGUUAGAAUUUGAAUUCAUAACCUUGGCCUUAAUAAUGUUAUAGCCUGUUAUUAGUCACUUUCCCUUUCCUGGGACAAAAUGCCUGAUAGCUGCAACUUAGAGGUGGAGAGGUUUAUUUUGUCUCUUAGUUUCAGAGGGUUCAUCACAUGGCUGUUGGCUCCAAUACAGAAACGGCAUGGUAGAAGGGAUGGAAGAGAGAAGCUACUUAACCCAUGGCAGCCAGGGCCACAGAGAGAAGGGAGGGCCCAGGGACAAGAACUCACCCUUCCAGGCAACAGUCCUAGUGAGCACCUUCUCUAAUCAGACCCCAGCUCCUAUUCAGCUAUGAGUUCAUCAGUGGAUGAAUCCUCUGGUGAGUAUAGCACCCCCACGCUGCAGGCACCUUCGAAACACCCUAUCUCUGAACACGCAAGGCUUUUGCGGGACAUUUUACAUCUAAACCAUAACACAGACUAACCAACCAUAGAGUCAGAAUCCCUCCAGGAAUCAGAUGGCAUUCAUGGAUUAGUAUGCUUUGACGAUGAUUUAUUCACAAAGGAGUGGACAGGAUACAAAGGAACAUAAGGGUGGUACAAGUUGCAGGUCCCACAGAAAUGGAGCUGUCACCAUUCCUAGGCCCAAAAGAACAAGAAGUUUACUGCAACCCAAAAAAGAGGCCAUUAUGAAGCACGGGCCAACCUGAAAGGAAUGGUAACCUGCUGCAGGGGGUGGUCAGCCCAAAGGGACAUCACAUGAACAUAGUAGGGGAACAAACACCCUGACUUAAAACUCUUUCCUCCUCCCAUGUCCUGUCCAGGCUCCACUGGCCCAACUCAAGAGGCACAGAAAAUAGAGAAAGCCCACUGUCGCAAUUCAUACAGCAGGUUAUAAUUCACAACCACCAAAAGCUUGGAAGUGACCAAAACUAGGUCCACCACAGACUGACACCCCUGACAAGACUGCAUGUGAGGGUCACAGAGUGGGAGCUGCAACUCCAGUCUCCUCUCCCGAGCAGCACCUUGACUUGCACCACUUUCUAACCAGGUAACAAGAACCCUGGGCCCCUCGUGACCACAGAGUAACCAGCCAGAGACACUCCAAGGAACAGAGCCUGCAUGGACCUCUUUCACCUGAGACCACCAGUCCCCUGCCAGGGUCACCACAGAUGGUGCACCUCGGCUGUGAUGGUGCUACUGGGAUAGAACAGAUAUGCAUUUACAUAUAUAAAUAUAUACGAAUAUGCAAAUACGUUUUUAG